rnacentral:lncRNA from 1 species
UAAGGCGAAAGCCCCCAAAAAUGGUUUUCCAAAAAUGGGUGAUCAAAAGAUCGAAUUACUAUGCCUAUCUUAGUGGUCGUUACUUUUGGUGGUCUUUCUUUUUGGCUGACUCGUCUAAGUGCUCUCCUUUGUCUCAAUGUUUAUCUCGUAAUUAUUCAAUUACGCCCCUAAAGCUAGCUCCUACUCCUCCUCCUCCUCCUUCUCCAUUAGGAUAGGAUUCUCCUUGGUCUUCUUUCACUAAUGGUCUCACCAUUUUCUAGUAGUAGUAGUUCGCGCGAGGGACUUUUCUAUCGCUUGCCCUUCCACACCACAUUAAUUAGGUUAGGUGGGUGUUGUUAUUUUAUUUUAUUG